rnacentral:rRNA from 1 species
UACGAAGGGGGCUAGCGUUGUUCGGAUUUACUGGGCGUAAAGCGCACGUAGGCGGUUUGUUAAGUCAGGGGUGAAAUCCUGGAGCUCAACUCCAGAACUGCCUUUGAUACUGGCAAUCUUGAGUCCGGAAGAGGUGAGUGGAACUCCUAGUGUAGAGGUGGAAUUCGUAGAUAUUAGGAAGAACACCAGUGGCGAAGGCGGCUCACUGGCCCGAUACUGACGCUGAGGCACGAAAGCGUGGGGAGCAAACAGG